AUUGAACGCUGGCGGAAUGCUUUACACAUGCAAGUCGAACGGCAGCACGGGAGCUUGCUCCUGGUGGCGAGUGGCGAACGGGUGAGUAAUACAUCGGAACGUACCCUGACGUGGGGGAUAACACAUCGAAAGAUGUGCUAAUACCGCAUACGACCUGAGGGUGAAAGGGGGGGAUCGCAAGACCUCUCGCGUUUGGAGCGGCCGAUGUCGGAUGAGCUAGUUGGUGAGGGAAAGGCUCACCAAGGCGACGAUCCGUAGCUGGUCUGGGAGGAUGAUCAGCCACACUGGGACUGAGACACGGCCCAGACUCCUACGGGAGGCAGCAGUGGGGAAUUUUGGACAAUGGGGGCAACCCUGAUCCAGCCAUUCCGCGUGAGUGAAGAAGGCCUUCGGGUUGUAAAGCUCUUUCGGCAGGAACGAAAAGGUGGUUACUAAUACUGGCUGCUCAUGACGGUACCUGAAGAAGAAGCACCGGCUAACUACGUGCCAGCCGCCGCCGCGGUAA
rnacentral:rRNA from 1 species